UGAAACCGCAGCAAUGUAAGCUUGCAUUGACAACCUUCGUUAGUACCAGUGACUUCAGCAGUUUAGUUUGCUGUCUCCUACAACGCGUUUAACGCGUUGGCUACGAAUUUUCCUGCAUCCGCAAUGGGAAACAGUCUUAUCUAGUGCAUGACUGAAAUUAUUUUUACGUCUAUACGGUUCGCCAAGGAGUAAACACUACACUUAGCAUUUCAUUUCUACCUUUUCUUUGCACAUGAAUCUAACAGAUGCUGCAAGAAAGCUAGCACAACCAACAUAGCAGGCCGUGAUGCAAAGCCAGUAGGAAAAGGUCAGUUAUCUUCCGUCCUCCCGUGUUUCGGAUGACAGCUACAGGUUUGCCAUGGCAAUGGCACUAUGUAACUUGGGGUGUACAUCUGGAGAGAUGGCGUUGAAAGAAAAUACCCGUUAAACCACACUUUAAGGAAUUAAGAAGAACAUCCUGCAAGAAGAUAGUUGAUCUUUCCAUUUGCCUUUUUGGGCAGGAAGAGGAAUUUCUUUGUUUAAUAAACUGAGGAGACAUUUAAAGGAUCGUUAUAUGACUGAAAAAAAAAAUAACUGCUAAGAGUGACCCAAAGUGCAAUGACAUUUUUUUAACAAAGAAUAACAUUUUUCUGUGUAGCUGUGAAUGUAUGACAUUGAUGAAAUGCAAAGGUUGCAAUUAGCUCAAUAAAUAGAAAUAAUGCAUUUGUAAUUGUUAA